rnacentral:rRNA from 1 species
UACGAACUGUGCGAACGUUAUUCGGAAUCACUGGGCUUAAAGGGUGCGUAGGCGGCGACUUAAGUAGGAUGUGAAAUCUCCCGGCUCAACCGGGGAACUGCGUUCUAAACUGGGUUGCUUGAGUAAGAUAGAGGUGUGCGGAACUUCCGGUGGAGCGGUGAAAUGUGUUGAUAUCGGAGGGAACACCGUUGGCGAAAGCGGCACACUGGGUCUUAACUGACGCUGAGGCACGAAAGCCAGGGGAGCAAACGGG